rnacentral:rRNA from 1 species
GGAUGAACGCUGGCGGCAUGCUUUACACAUGCAAGUUGAACGAAUUAAAGUUUUCGAAUUUUAGUUAAGUAGCGAACGGGUGAGUAAAACGUAAGAAUCUAUUUUUAGGUGAGGAAUAACUAAUGGAAACGUUAGCUAAUACCUUAUAAACUGAGAAGUGAAAAACCAAAGAUUGCCUAAAAGUGAGCUUGCGCCUGAUUAGCUUGUUGGUAAGAUAAUCGCUUACCAAAGCGACGAUCAGUAGUUGAUCCAAGAGGAUAAUCAACCACACUGGGACUGAGAUACGGCCCAGACCUCUACGGAGGGCAGCAGUGAGGAAUUUUCCGCAAUGGGCGAAAGCCUGACGGAGCAAUGCCGCGUGAAGGAUGAAGGCCUAUGGGUCGUAAACUUCUUUUCUUAAUGAAGAAAUAAGACGGUAAUUAAGGAAUAAGCAUCGGCUAACUCCGUGCCAGCAGCCGCGGUAAUACGGAGGAUGCAAGCGUUAUCCGGAAUUAUUGGGCGUAAAGGGUUUGUAGGCUACUUUUUAAGUCUGCUGUUAAAGAAUAAGACUUAACCUUAGAAAAGCAGUAUGAAACUAAAAGGAUAGAGUUCAGUAGGGGUAGAGGGAAUUCUCGGUGUAGUAGUGAAAUGCGUAGAUAUCGAGAGGAACACCAAUAGCGAAAGCACUCUACUAGGCUGUAACUGACGCUAAGAAACGAAAGCUAGGGGAGCCAAUGGGAUUAGAUACCCCAGUAGUCCUAGCUGUAAACGAUGGAUACUAAGUAUUGGAUAAUAAAAAAUUCAGUGCUGUAGCUAACGCGUUAAGUAUCCCGCCUGGGGAGUAUGCCCGCAAGGGUGAAACUCAAAGGAAUUGACGGGGGCCCGCACAAGCGGUGGAGCAUGUGGUUUAAUUCGAUGCAACGCGAAAAACCUUACCAGGAUUUGACAUCCCAUAUUUUUUUUCUAGAAAUAGAAGAAUUGACGUGGAGACAGGUGGUGCAUGGCUGUCGUCAGCUCGUGUCGUGAGAUGUUGGGUUAAGUCCCGUAACGAGCGCAACCCUUGUCUUUAGUUCGAUAGUCUAAAGAAACUGCCGAUAAUAAAUCGGAGGAAGGUGAGGAUGACGUCAAGUCAGCAUGCCCCUUAUAUUCUGGGCGACACACGUGCUACAAUGGUUAAGACAAUGGGAUGCAAACUUGUAAAAGGAAGCUAACCUCAAAAACUUAAUCGAAGUUCGGAUUGUCGACUGAAACUCGUCGACAUGAAGCUGGAAUCGCUAGUAAUCGCCGGUCAGCCACACGGCGGUGAAUACGUUCUCGGGCCUUGUACACACCGCCCGUCACGUUAGGGAAGCUGAUUAUGCCUGAAGUCAUUGAUUUAACCUUUUGGGGAAAAAUGCCGAAGGCAGAGU